AACGAACGCUGGCGGCAGGCUUAACACAUGCAAGUCGAGCGCCCCGCAAGGGGAGCGGCAGACGGGUGAGUAACGCGUGGGAAUCUACCCAGCUCUACGGAAUAACUCAGGGAAACUUGUGCUAAUACCGUAUACGUCCGAUAGGAGAAAGAUUUAUCGGAGUUGGAUGAGCCCGCGUUGGAUUAGCUAGUUGGUGGGGUAAUGGCCUACCAAGGCGACGAUCCAUAGCUGGCUGAGAGGAUGAUCAGCCACACUGGGACUGAGACACGGCCCAGACUCCUACGGGAGGCAGCAGGUGGGGAAUAUUGGACAAUGGGCGAAAGCCUGAUCCAGCCAUGCCGCGUGAGUGAUGAAGGCCCUAGGGUUGUAAAGCUCUUUCAACGGUGAAGAUAAUGACGGUAACCGUAGAAGAA
rnacentral:rRNA from 1 species